UUUAUUACUUAAAAAAAUCUUGCACUUUUUCAGAAGUUAAUGGUUGAGCAGCCAACGAGUUGCGCAUGAGCAUGCUAAUGGGUUGCGGACCGCGGGCUUUCUAUGAGGACGCUAGUAUCGUGAUCGGGUGGUUGAGGCACGGAUUAGGACUUAGGAGCACCCCGAUAGAAGCGAGACAUAGACUUGCCGAUUGGAGCGGAAGACAUUAAGCAUCUUCUGUUCAAGUGUAGCCGGGCAAAGCCGUAUAGCAAGCACUGGGUACUCGUGACUUAUUUGAAAAAACUUGUCUUGUUCAUCGUCCAGGACAGUAUGUUUUAGAGGAGUUGUUGUAUUGAAGCCUUGAUCAUUCACUGAUUUUUGGGACAAGCCCCACUGCCAGAGCUUGUUGCGGUGUCCUUUGGUAUUUAUGGUGGGAAAGGAGGCAAAUUAGCCGUGAUAUUCGGGUGCAGUCCCAAAAAGAUCUGUGAUGGCAAUCAAAGUGUUAUCCUCAUAUUCGAGGUCUUCUGCAGUUCCUAAUGCAAGGGUGAGAAAGGGGAGAUGGGCUCCACCAAGGUGAUUGUGUUAAGAUAAACGUUGAUGCUUCUUUCGAUCCAGACAUUUUUACAGGUGCGGUCAUUCGUUAUAAAAAGGGAAGUGUAAUGCACAUUUGGAUAUGGUCCAAGAUGUUCUUUCGACUGAAGCUUUGGCUCUCAAGCAUGCCUUGUUCUUAGCUGAAUCUAUGGGUUGUAAUAGAGUUGUUGUGAGCUCUGAUAAUAGUGAAUUAAUAGAAAUUAUGAAGAAUGAGAGGCCUCCUACAGGUAUUGCUGCAACAAUUUUUCAAGAUUGUUUUUCAGAAAAUUGCUUCUAUACCAUCGACAUCCUCUGCAAUGGCUUAUUUGCCAUCCAACAAAGCUUCAGUGCUUAUAUACCAAGUACAAACAAAAUCUAUUGCUUAUUUGCCAUGGCUGUUAGUCUCCCGUUACCAAGUCUCUAUUUUCUUGCAAAAUCCAAUUUUACCCUCGCUGUAGAUUAAAAAAAAGACAACUCGCCCACGCACCUGACUCUCCACGAGACCACGACUCAACGCACGCACACCUGACCCUCCCCAUCCCCACGCACGCACGCGCAGCGGCAACCUCCAGCGAGCGGCAAUGGCGGAACCGCCGCCGGCGCCACCAUCGCCCCUGUCGCCGCUCCACCAACCCCCGCUGUUGCCGCAGAAUCUCGACGCCGCUGCGCCUCAAGGCUUCUCUCCCACCGCAUCUUCGACCCUAUCCAGGCGACGCCUAAUGGCGGAACCACCGCCGCCGCUUCCCCAGCCCCUGCCGCACGGUCCCGCCGCCGCCGCCGCGCCUCUAUCCCUCUCGUCUACCGCGUCUUCGAUGGCCUCCGCAAACGGGCUAGCAGCAGCAGCCUCUCCCAGCGUCCAUGUCGCCCAGAACCCUGGGAUUGGGGAUUCCGGCGAGGUGGAGAGUAGGGCAGUGGCGCCGACGGCCGAGGCUCUUCCCAAGAUCAACUCCUCUGUGGGCGCACUUGCAGCAGCCCCUCCGCCCCAGAUUUGCAUGCCCGACGAGGAAGAAGGCAUGGCAGACGAAUGCGACUCAACCUCUCUCUCUGCUAUUUGUGCUAGGAUGAUCCAGUCUUGUACUUACACAAUAGAGGUCAAGGUUUGUGGCAGUGAAACAAAAAUCAAUGGGGAUUCGACAUUUAGUUGGCAGAUUAUUGAGGGUACUAGGACAAGUAUGAAGGAUUUGCUGGCUUGUAUUGCUGGAACUUCUUCUUUUGCUUUAUGCUCAAAGGAUAAUAUAAUUCUUGAGUAUGUUGAUUCCAUUAGUGGCAAACAUCUCUCUGUGUCAAAUGAUGAAGAAUGCAUGAAAAUGUUUGACUGUUUUGAGAAGAAUAGAAGUGGCCAUUUGAUCAUCAAAUAUUCUGAGAGAAGUGAUAAUGUUGAUGUUCCAUGUACUCCUUCGAACCAGACACCAUCUAUAGCACUACCUAGUCAACCAAGUAAUGUCAUGGAUGAAGCUAGUGUAUGCCUAACAAAUACAUAUCUUAACAAUCCCCAUGAAGAAUAUGAACAUGUUGGUGUAGAUGAGGAGGACCAAUACUCAAUUGGCAGUGUUGGUUCCGAUAGUGAUGAUGAGGUCGGAGAAAAAGAUAUACCAAAUAUUGAUUAUGUUGAGGAUAGCAGCGAUGAUGAGGAAUGGGUUACGGAAGAUGCUAGACCGGAUGCUAUUCUAGAAAUUGCCUAUGACAAAGAAAACCCGCCAAUGCAUGUUGGCGCAAAGUACCCCAACAUUGAAGAGCUUAGGUUGGCAAUUUCUACAUACGCUGUAAAGAAAGAGUUCGAAUUUAAGGUUGAAAAAAGUGAACCUACUCGAUUCAGGGCUUAUUGUCGCCAGGCGAACAAGACGGGCUGUAAAUGGAGAAUUCAUGUUGGGAGGUUGGAUGACCGAGAAACUAUGGAGGUCAAAGUUCAUGUGCAGGAGCACACAUGUUCUAGCACAAAGAAGAAAAAGAAGCAGAAAAAUGCUUCAAAUGCAUGGGUAUGUGAGAAAGUCAUGGACUAGGUAAAAGAAGAUCCUAGUGUUCGGCCGAUGGAAUUAUGCAGGAGGUUAGUAGCCAAUUAGCUACUGCUGGUGCUAUUGACGGGCACAAUUGGUUGUACCCUGUAGUCUAUGGAGUUAUCGACUCGGAAACUACUGAAAGUUGGGUGUGGUUUAUGGAGAAGCUUCGUGAAACUAUUGGCUCUCCCCCCGGUCUAGCUAUAUGUUCAGAUGCAGGAAAAGGGAUUGACACUGCAAUCGAACAGGUAUUCGGGUAUGCUGAACAUAGAGAAUGCAUGUGACACUUGGUUCUGAACUUCAAGAAAAUAUUCCAUGGUAAAGUUUUUGAUGAUCAUUUGUGGUCAGCUGCUUAUUCAUGGACUCCUCGAGGGUUUGACUAUCACAUGGCAGCCAUAGAGGAGAAAAUGGCUGCUGCAAUAGCAUACUUAAACAAGUACCACAACAGGCUAUGGUCAAGGAGCAAAUAUUCAACCUCCUCAAAAGUGGAUUAUGUGACAAAUAAUUUGGCCGAGUGUUUCAACAACUGGAUCUGCAAGCACAAAGGUUUAAUGUUGUUCCAGCUCAUGGACAAGAUAAGGAGAAAGAUUACGGUUAAGUUUGAGAAGAGGAGAAGCUAGAAAAUUUCAAGGUCGGCGUAUACUUCCAAGUGUCAUGAAGGAGUUGAAUGACAUAAGGGGGCUGGACAUUGAAUAUGAGAGAAUAGAUGACAUGAUUGCAGAGGUGAGUGAGAAGGGUGAUAAGGUUUUUGGGGAGCGCUCAGCGCGACUACUGACUACUUCAUCACGGACGCCCCGGACUCCGACGACUUCUUCCCCAACGUCGACAACCUUCUCGACGACAUGGCUGGCGAGGACACCGACCCCAAGUCCAGUGCUACUGCUGCUGCUGUCCCGUACGUGUCCUUGCUCUUUCUGUUAGAUGUCCUCUCGCAGUUCUUUGCUCUAGUGUCUGUCCUACAUAUGUUAGGUUGUACGCCAUAUAUGCAACCUGUUCUACUAUCUGCUUUAGACAUAUUUAGUUGCAGUUCAUAUAUGAAGGUGUUAUUUACCUCUCUCUGUCAGAUUGCAUGACUACUUUUAUCCAUGUUAUAUCAGUCAUGGUUUAUCUAAUAUUUUUAUUAAUAAAAUCAUUUGGUAAAUUGCUCAUUUUUUCAACAAUAAACUCGCCCGCUUUUUCAUGCCUGGAUCAGCCAGUUUCCUGCGAAACGUACAUGUAUAUUCCCGUGUCGGAAAGGAAAGGAAAGGAAAAGAACAGUGCACGAAUAUUAUUCCUCGUGCUCGUGCUCUUCUCGCGUUUGUCUCGACCGGCCGGCCGGCCACGACUUCACUGCCGCCGUUUUCCCGGAUGAUUCCGUGAAAAUGCUGCCCAACAGCCCAAAUACCACAGACCACGGCCAGAUCGACCAGAAAACUUCACGGAAAACCACCGGAUCAGCCGUCAUUUGGGGGGCUAGCGUGUGUGUCGGCCGAGGCGUCGGGUUUGCACGUUUUGCCCGGAUCAGCCGUCUCCAGGUGAAAUGUGCAGGUACAUUCCCGUUUCAUCAAUCAUCAAAAGGACAAAGGAAAUAAACACUACACGACGGUUCCUAAAAAUGGAAGAGGAAAUUACACUGCACGACAAUUCCACGCGUGUGUACCUAAAAAUAGAAAGACCGCUCCUCGUGCUGUUCUCGCGUUUUGUUAUUGGUCGGCCACGACUUCACUGCCGCCGUUUUCUCGGAUGAUUCCGUGAAAAUGCUGCCCAAGUACCACAUGCCACGACCAGAUCGACCAGAAAACUUCACGAAAAAACACCGGAAAACUGCGUGGUAUUUUCCAUGCACGCGCUCUCCCUGCGCUAUAUAUGCAGUUCACCACGUUCGUACGAGGCCGUACCAAAAGUCCAGAACUCAAAAGGUGAAACCCACAAGAGAUCGAGCUGUUGCCAUGGCUUCCCGUGCCACACCGUCCAGCUGCUCGGCGAGCAAGCUCCUCCUCCUCCUCGUCCUUGUGUUGGCCGCCGCUGCGGCGCACGGCGUGGCCGCGGCGAGGCCGGGGCCGGGGGUGGCGGGCGCGGACGACGGAGGCGCGAGCGCGAGGCUGCUGUCGGGGCCGGGGGCCUCUUGCUGCACGCACGAUCGGAACUCGGAGGGGACCUCGUGCUGCCCACAUAGGCCACCUCCGUAGUAGCCCACUGCAGACUGCGCCCGAAAUGCGUGGAGUAAAUUAUUUGGUUGUUGAUCGUUCAUUCAUUCGUGUACAGAUAGAAAUCAACCGUGUAUAUUUAUUCCUUCUUCUUUGGUUUCUGGUCGUUGUUUAUUUCUGAACUACAGUAGCAGUGUCUCUCGUUCAAUAGGAGAACCAUGUAUUGUAAGGUGUCAGAAGAGUCUUUGUUUUCAUGGUAUCAGAAGUUUGUAGAAUUGUCUAGCUAAUAGGAAAAAUAUUCCUCCGCGGAUAUAUACUUCUAUAUUGUCUAACUAUAACAUGAUUAAUGAUCUAUGUGUGAUUUGAUUUGUA